rnacentral:rRNA from 1 species
AUUGAACGCUGGCGGCAUGCCUUACACAUGCAAGUCGAACGGCAGCACGGGUCUCGGGCAACUGAGCCCUGGUGGCGAGUGGCGAACGGGUGAGUAAUGCAUCGGAACGUGCCCAGUAGUGGGGGAUAACUAGUCGAAAGAUUAGCUAAUACCGCAUACGACCUACGGGUGAAAGCGGGGGAUUUUCGGGCAACCGAGAACCUCGCGCUAUCGGAGCGGCCGAUGUCUGAUAGCUAGUUGGCGGGGUAAAAGCCCACCAAGGCUUCGAUCAGUAGCUGGUCUGAGAGGACGACCAGCCACACUGGGACUGAGACACGGCCCAGACUCCUACGGGAGGCAGCAGUGGGGAAUUUUGGACAAUGGGCGCAAGCCUGAUCCAGCCAUGCCGCGUGCGGGAAGAAGGCCUGGUU